CUAAGUAUAGUAUUAAAAAUACAUAAUGUUUACAACAUUACAAUCGGUAACGUGCUUAGU
rnacentral:tRNA from 1 species